UACGUAGGGGGCAAGCGUUGUCCGGAUUUAUUGGGUGUAAAGAGCGUGUAGGCGGUUAGGUAGGUCCGUUGUGAAAACUCGAGGCUCAACCUCGAGACGCCGAUGGAAACCAUCUAACUAGAGUCCGGAAGAGGAGAAUGGAAUUCCUGGUGUAGCGGUGAAAUGCGCAGAUAUCAGGAAGAACACCCGUGGCUAAGGCGGUUCUCUAGUACGGUACUGACGCUAAGGCGCGAAAGCGUGGGAGCAACAGG
rnacentral:rRNA from 1 species